AGUAGCUCAAUUGGCAGAGCGGUGGUCUCCAAAACCACAGGUUGGGGGUUCGAUUCCCUCCUGG
rnacentral:tRNA from 1 species